rnacentral:lncRNA from 1 species
ACCCAGAACUUGCUACACAGACCAGGCUGGCUUCAAACUCAACAAAGGUUUGCUUGCCUCUGCCUCCCAAGGAUUCAAGGCGUGUGCUGCCACACCCUGCCUGCUUACCUUACUUUUUAAGGCAGUCUUCCUGGUUUGGAACUCACCAAAUAGGGGGGCCAGCUAGCCAGCCUCAGCAGUCUGCUGUCUGUCCCUCGGCAGUCUGCUGUCUGUCCCUCCAGCACUGGGUUACAGCUGCAGUGCUGUUCCCUGCUUUUAAGGUGGGAACCAAAUGUAGGUGUCCUUGCUUGUGUCUCAAGCCCUUUGUCAGCAGAGCCAUCUCCUCAGCCCUUACCUCUGUGGUAGGAAUCCUCCUUUCAUGCCUUUGUGUGUGCUCCAGGGAAGGUUGGAAGGGCCCAGGACCCAGAAGCCUUUGCUCUGGUUCCCAAGUCCAAGUCCUUUACUUCCCAGGGGAGGUUAGAGUGCGGCCG